rnacentral:misc_RNA from 1 species
UGGGGAGCACGAUAGAGAAAGUGAAGGGGUAGGGUAGGAGGUGGCUUCGGAGAGAAGCAAUGAAGAGAAAAAUUGGAGGAGGAGAGAGGGAGGUCAACGGCGGACCUGUGUACGUGGCGGCGGCGGAGGAGGAGAGAAAGAGCGGGAGUUAAGGAUAAGGGGCACAUUGUAGCGAGCAUCACAGCGGCAGAAACAAGGAAUUUUU